rnacentral:tRNA from 1 species
GCCUUCUUAGCUCAGUCGGUAGACGAUCAAAGAGUUAAUCGGAGGGUCGUGGGUUCGAUUCCCACAAAAGGCG